UACGAUGAAGAGUUUGAUCCUGGCUCAGGAUGAACGCUAGCGGCAGGCUUAACACAUGCAAGUCGAGGGGUAUAGUUCUUCGGAACUAGAGACCGGCGCACGGGUGCGUAACGCGUAUGCAAUCUACCUUUCACAAAGGGAUAGCCCAGAGAAAUUUGGAUUAAUACCUUAUAGUAUAUAUGAAUGGCAUCAUUUAUAUAUUAAAGAUUUAUCGGUGAAAGAUGAGCAUGCGUCCCAUUAGCUAGUUGGUAAGGUAACGGCUUACCAAGGCAACGAUGGGUAGGGGUCCUGAGAGGGAGAUCCCCCACACUGGUACUGAGACACGGACCAGACUCCUACGGGAGGCAGCAGUGAGGAAUAUUGGACAAUGGGCGCAAGCCUGAUCCAGCCAUGCCGCGUGCAGGAUGACGGUCCUAUGGAUUGUAAACUGCUUUUAUACAGGAAGAAACACUUGCUCGUGAGCAAACUUGACGGUACUGUAAGAAUAAGGAUCGGCUAACUCCGUGCCAGCAGCCGCGGUAAUACGGAGGAUCCAAGCGUUAU
rnacentral:rRNA from 1 species